GCCAGGCUCACACCUGCUGAGCUGCAGUGGGCUGCCAGCUGGGAGCUACAGGGUGAUAUGGCUGCUGGCGGUUCUGGGAUUAGUGAGCUGCUAGCUACUGAACGAGCUGGAUGGGUGGAGUGGCUCGUCUCGUCUGUGACCUGUCUUCUGAAGAGCCUCUUGGCUUUUUGCUUUUAACUCCACCUGUCUGCAGGCCCGCAAGACAGGGGUUUCAAACUCAAGAGUCCCCUGCAGAGCCGCAGACAGAAAGCCACGUGCAGAGAUGGAAAAUGAGGGUUUCACACGGCAGUAGUGCAGUUUCCAGACCUGUUGUGCAACAUAGUGCUUUCAUCACCGCGGUACACAGUGUGCUACCAGGAUUCUUCAUUGGGAAUGUUCAUAAGGGCUGGGGAGGCAGGUGAACGUCGUUAUAAACAACUCUACCAUGAUAACAACCUCUGCUCCAGAGUCCGCUCUCCGUUACUAGACCGAAUCAGUUAUCAAUCAACUGGACUGUUUCCGCAGUGCGGCCGCUGGGAGUUCACUGCGAGUUGAUGAUUUAAAGGACAGGGCCGACCAGCUCUGACUAAUAGAGUGCACUUCGGCCGCGCGGUGAUCCACUCCUCAGGCCAGGACACAGGGCAACACGAGAUGUCUGUUCUAGUUUCCUUCUCCGCCACUCUGUCGUCUGCAUGUUUAACCCUGCCCUGCUCCACGCUGCUCACCAAGCUAAUCGGAAGCGUUAAUAAAUAUGCUGUUAGCCUGUGACAAAGGGCUGAGCUUCUGGUAUGAGUCUAUGUGCUCCGCGGGGUCUGGGAGAGCGCUCUUGGUUGAAGAGAAGGAGUCUUGAGCUGACGGGGUACCCCAUCGAGAGGGGAGGUGCUGUUGGUGCCGCUCCUCCGGUUGCUCACUUUAAACAAGGGGGGAAAGAGCACAGAGGUCAGAGUUCAAAGGUUCAGCAAAAUCUCAGCAGUGUGUGGAGCGAGAGAGGGUGGGGCGUCCGCUAAACGUGCGGCCCCUGUGUUUUUCUUUUGGUCAAACUGUAAUCCAGGCUACUAGAGAACCGUAACUAAUAAAAACAUGACGUGGGAGAGGGGUUACCCAGGCUUAUUGAGUGCCAGAGUACACAGGGGGAGGGGUCUCUGCACAUACUGUACAUGUCUGAGCGGAGAAAGUGUCACAGUUCUACCGCCUGCAGUGGGGGGGUCUGGUUCAUUACUCUUUCAUCAGGGGAGGAGACCCUGGCCGUGGUGAGAGAGAGCUAUCCACUGUCAGACUGUGAGACAUCUGUCACGCUGGGGGCUGACUGUGAGCCGUGCAGAGCACACAAGGUGGCGUGGACCCUUUCUGGAUCUUCUUCAUGACCACUGGGCAAGU